rnacentral:rRNA from 1 species
ACCGCAGUACACUCUAUGGGNGAAAAAGCAGGGGGAUCUUCGGAACCUUGCGCUAUUGGAUGAGCCUAUGUCGGAUUAGUUAGUUGGUGGGGUAAAGGCCUACCAAGGCGACGAUCCGUAGCUGGUCUUAGAGGAUGAUCAGCCACAUCGGGACUGAGACACGGCCCGAAUCCUACGGGAGGCAGCAUGGGGAAUAUUGCACAAUGGGCGCAAGCCUGAUGCAGCUAUGCCGCGUGUGUGAAGAAGGCCUUAGGGUUGUAAAGCACUUUCAGUAGUGAGGAAAAGUGUUGCGUUAAUAGCGCAAUGCUGUGACGUUAGCUACAGAAGAAGGACCGGCAAACUCCGUG